rnacentral:tRNA from 1 species
GAGAGUCUAGCUCAGUGAUAGAGCACGUCCUUAGCAAGCACGAGGUCCUGGGUUCAAUCCCCAGUCCCUCC